rnacentral:rRNA from 1 species
UCGGGCUAAUACCGCAUACGUUCGUGGGGCUUCGGCCCUGCGCAGAAAGGUGGCCUAUGCUUGCAAGCCACCGCUCCUGGAGGGGUCCGCGUCUGAUUAGCUAGUUGGGCGGGUAAUGGCCCACCAAGGCGACGAUCAGUAGCCGGCCUGAGAGGGUGAUCGGGCCACACUGGAACUGAGACACGGUCCAGACUCCUACGGGAGGCAGCAGUGGGGAAUAUUGGACAAGUGGGGGAAACCCUGAUCCAGCAACGCCGCGUGGAGGAUGAAGGUCUUCGGAUUGUAAACUCCUGUUAGGGGGGACGAAGGGGAUGUCGGCAAACAGCCGGCAAACUUGACGGUACCCCCAGAGGAAGCCCCGGCUAACUCUGUG